rnacentral:tRNA from 1 species
GCUGCUGUGGCUCAGUUGGUAGAGCAGCUGAUUCGUAAUCAGCAGGUCGCCGGUUCAAGUCCGGCCAGCAGCUCCA